UACGGGGGGUGCAAGCAUUGAUCGGAAUUACUGGGCGUAAAGGGCGCGUAGGCGGCUUUUUCAGGCAGAUGGGAAAUUCCGGGGCUCAACCCCGGAGCUGCAUUUGAAACUGAAGAGCUAGUGGCUAGUAAGGGAAAACAGAAUUCCACGUGUAGCGGUGAAAUGCGUAGAUAUGUGGAAGAAUACCGGUGGUGAAGACGGUUUUCUGGGCUAAGCCAGACGCUGAGGCGCGAAAGCUAGGGGAGCAAACAGG
rnacentral:rRNA from 1 species